rnacentral:lncRNA from 1 species
UGGGCUCUUAAACAUCAGAUCUUUAUCAACGAAAGCUGGAUUGGUAAAUGAUUUAAUAUCAGAUAAUAAGAUUGAUUUAUUUCGUCUCACUGAAAUCUGGCUGAGACAUGAAGAAUAUGUCAGUCUAAAUGAAUCUACUCCACCUGGUCAUAUUAAUACUCACAUUCCUCGAGGUACUGGCCGAGGAGGUGGAGUUGCGGCCAUAUUUGACUCAAACCUCUUGAUCAAUCCUAAGCCUAAACUAAACUAUAACUCUUUUGAAAGCCUUGUUCUUACGCUCUCAAACCCAACAUGGAAAACAAUAAAGCCAGUUUUAUUUGUUACUGUGUACCGCCCACCUGGUCCGUAUUCUGAAUUUCUAUCUGAAUUCUCAGAAUUUUUAUCAAAUUUAGUCCUUAAAACAGAUAAAGUAAUUAUUGUAGGUGACUUUAAUAUUCAUGUGGAUGUUGAUAGUGACAGCCUUAAUAAUGCAUUUAUCUCAAUAUUAGAUUCAAUUGGGUUCAGUCAGAAUGUACAUGAACCAACUCACUGUUUAAACCACACUCUGGACCUUGUUCUGGGAUAUGGUGUUGAAAUUGAAAGUUUAUCAGUGUGUCCACAUAAUCCUCUUUUAUCAGACCAUUUUUUAAUAACUUUUGAAGUCCUGUUACUGGACUACAAGCCAGUAGGCAAAAUAUCCUACGCUCGAUGUUUAUCUGAAAGUGCUGUGACUAAAUUUAAGGAAGUGAUUCCAUCAGCACUUAAUUCAAUACCAGGACUCAAUAUCAAUAUAACAGAGGACUCCAAUGCUAACUUUAGUCCCUCCCAAAUUAAUCAUCUUGUUGAUAGCGCUGCAGCCUCACUGCGAAUAACACUCGACUCUGUCGCUCCUCUAAAGAAGAAGAUCAUAAAACAGAAAAAGAAAGCUCCAUGGCUUAAUUUACAAAUCCGCAAACUAAAACAAAAGUCGAGAAAUCUUGAAAGUAAAUGGCGUUCCACUAAAUUGGAAGAAUCUCGUUUAGUCUGAUUAGAUCAUCUUAAAACGUAUAAGAAGGCUCUCCGUAAUGCCAGAGCAGCUUAUUACUCUUCCUUAAUAGAAGAAAAUAAGAACAACCCCAGGUUUCUUUUCAGCACUGUAGCCAGGCUGACAGAGAGCCACAGCUCUACAGAGCCUUCUGUUCCUAUAUCUCUCAGUAGUGACGACUUCAUGAGUUUCUUUAACCAUAAAAUUAUAAUUAUUAGAGACAAAAUUAAUCUCCUCCUGACCUCAAUUGGUAAUGACUUAACUUCAACUGUUGGAAUUUUAAAAACAUCUGUAACUCCUGAAAUAUAUCUAGACUGUUUUACUCCAAUCAACCUUAACCAACUAACUUCAACAAUCUCAUCGUCUAAACCAUCAACCUGUCUUUUGGACCCG